UCUUGAUAAUAUCUAUCAUUUUUAUAAUUCUCUCUUGAAAAUAUUACCUUUCUUUUGAUCCAUCAUAUCUUGUUUGUUCAUAAAAUCUUGAAACUUGUGACUUUAGAACAUUUAAGCAAAGGCUUCCCACCAGACGUUCAAUAACUGAAGUACUGAACAAGAGUAGGAGUAUAUAUAUAAAUGUUUGUUGAUCAUCUAAACAAGGUGUUACCGUGUUUUUAAACACAAACCAUUCAUAUAAUUAGCCUGUCCUCUUCAAACAGUGUAUAGCCUUUGCAAUCUUAACGUCAAAAGAGCCCUGGACGAAAAUCAUCAUCAUCAUCAUCAUCGUUAUCAUCAUCAUCAUACUCAGGAAAUCCCACCAAUAGCAAAGCUAACGUAGGGUCUGAGGAGGAUUUGAGAUGAGGCAGGC